rnacentral:rRNA from 1 species
AUUGAACGCUGGCGGCAUGCUUUACACAUGCAAGUCGAACGGCAGCGCGGGCUUCGGCCUGGCGGCGAGUGGCGAACGGGUGAGUAAUAUAUCGGAACGUACCCAAGAGUGGGGGAUAACGUAGCGAAAGUUACGCUAAUACCGCAUACGAUCUAAGGAUGAAAGCAGGGGAUCGCAAGACCUUGUGCUCCUGGAGCGGCCGAUAUCUGAUUAGCUAGUUGGGGGGGUAAAGGCCCACCAAGGCAACGAUCAGUAGCUGGUCUGAGAGGACGACCAGCCACACUGGAACUGAGACACGGUCCAGACUCCUACGGGAGGCAGCAGUGGGGAAUUUUGGAAAAUGGGGGCAACCCUGAUCCAGCAAGGCCGCGUGAGUGAAGAAGGCCUUCGGGUUGUAAAGCUCUUUUGUCAGGGAAGAAAAGGUCGUGGCUAAUAUCCACGACUGCUGACGGUACCUGAAGAAUAAGCACCGGCUAACUACGUGCCAGCAGCCGCCGUAAAAC